ACCUAGCAAUAGGUUGAUGGCGACCGGCGCACGGGUGAGUAACACGUAUCCAACCUACCGGUUAUUCCGGGAUAGCCUUUCGAAAGAAAGAUUAAUACCGGAUAGUAUAACGAGAAGGCAUCUUCUUGUUAUUAAAGAAUUUCGAUAACCGAUGGGGAUGCGUUCCAUUAGUUUGUUGGCGGGGUAACGGCCCACCAAGACUACGAUGGAUAGGGGUUCUGAGAGGAAGGUCCCCCACAUUGGAACUGAGACACGGUCCAA
rnacentral:rRNA from 1 species